rnacentral:lncRNA from 14 species
AAAAAACCACCCUUCUCAGGAUGAGGAGUUCAGACACGCCAGAUGUCUUUGGCGCAGACGUUGCUGUCAUGAGCCUUGCAGACGUUUCAUGUUUGAUUCCUUGCUUUCUUUUCACUUGGCACUGAGCAUGAAGGUUUUGAAAACAGUAUUGCAAAGUGUUUUAAAUUGCAAAGCUGACCAGUGAGUGUCAUAAACUGUAUCUCCCUCAUAUGCCACAGGUUGACAGUUCAGACAGGGACCUGGCAUGUGAGGGCUGUCACCAAUCUGUCAUGUACUGGUAGCAGAAACACUGGUGAUUUUCCUCUACUCCAAGCCUUCUCUUGAACUCUUCUGGAAAGGCAGAAGGCUGCAGCCUGAAGGAUAGGGACUUGGCAUGGAAAAAGGGAAAGGGAAAAUCUAGUCUGGAAGCUGAAAAACAAGACAUUGCUUUCUUUUCAGAGGUGAAGUGCUCAAAUUCACUAUGCCGCUUUGACUUGAAAGGCAUUUACCCAGUUAUCAGGACUAACCUGGUGUUCAUCAUCUAUGUUCAGAUGAGAUAGUGCUUCAGGUUUCAUUCUGAAGCCCCCGAUUUCACUCCACCAGCUCCAUCCAUCUGGCUUAGUCACAGCAUCCUGCUGAAGCAUCUGUAGUGACAUGAAGCUUGGUGGCCUCAGUGUUUCUCCUCUGAUGCUGUUGUCAGAUAUUUAGCUAUAGAAGCACUCGCUCAGGAAUGAGGAAGGAUCAAAGCUAUCCUGUAGCAGAUAGUACCUAACUAGCAGAACAGGUCUUUUUUUCUGCUGAACACGUGUUUCCUUCACUUGCAAUGAAAGAGGAGUGCAGCUUCAGUAUGAAUGGAGAGCAGAGUGAUGUAAGGGAUGAAGAAAAUAAGAAAUGGAGCAAAUCGUGUGAAGGCUGCAUGGGCUUGUCUCUAGCAUUUACUCAUAGGAAUAAUACAGGAUCUCCUGACAGGUUUAAUCAGACUUGUUGAGUUGACAGAUGCUGAUCCAGCACAGACACAGUGCCUGCUUUCCAGAGGAUUUACAAAGAAAGGUGAAACUGAACCUCCACAGCAGUGGUUUGCACAUUGCUGGUGCUGGGAAUCCAAAAGCCACUCAGAUGAGCCACGUGGAAGGGUUCCCAUGUGUGUGCUCUUUGCUUUCCCAACAUAAAACUGAGAAAUGAAAACAGAAGAAAACAAAGCAGAUCCUGGUACUUAUGGUUAAUUUUGUUGGGG